rfam:Myotis lucifugus cont2.45793, whole genome shotgun sequence.
GGCGGUUCUCGGGUGACGCACCCCAGAAUCGGUCUCCCUCCUCACUGGUUCUGGUGCGUCACCCAAGAACUGCA